CAACCUGGCUUCCUGCUUCACCGUGUCAGACUGUGAUACUGAGAAGAACUAUGGCUUCCAAAUUCAUACAAAGAGUGCAGUGUUCACUCUCUCUGCAGUGACCUCCAGAGUAAGACGGAACUGGGUGAAGCGACUAAAGCAAACUGUUCAGAAUAACACACACCAAUCAGAUGCUGGAGGCGAGAAAGAGAACCCCCUCUCUCUGAGACCGUCGUCAUGCCAACCGCCUGCGCAGCUCACCUGCAAAGACCUAGACUAUGACACUACAUUUGCUGCCACGGACUCCACCACCACCGCUGCAAAUUCUCAUCGCGCCGAGCACCACCAAGGUGAUUUAAAAGACGUGGA